rnacentral:rRNA from 1 species
UUGUGUGUACCGAAGAAGAAAGGGGGCUUGGGAUUUAGAGACCUUCACAGUUUUAACCUUGCUAUGUUAGCAAAAUAGUGUUGCCAACUAAUUCAGAACCCGGACUCUCUAUGUGCACGUGUUUUGAGCUCAAAAUAUUAUCCCGACGGAAACAUCUUGCAAGCUGGACCAAAGAACGGGUCAUCAUUUACUUGGCAGACCAUAGUUGCAGGUAUUCAAACUUUUCAGAGGGGGUGCAUUUGGCGUGUAGGUACAGGAGCACAGAUUGAUAUAUGGCGGGAUUCCUGGAUCCCUUCGAGUCCUUCAAGGAAGGUAAUCACCCCUAGAGACGCAACGAUGCUCAGAUUUGUGGAAGAGCUUAUUGAUCCACACAUUGGACGGUGGGACGAAGUGCUAAUCAGAGAUGUAUUCUCUCUUGUUGAUGCUCAUAGGAUCCUUCAAAUACCUUUGAAUGUGCAGAUUAUGGAGGAUUUUAUUGCUUGGAACUAG